rnacentral:rRNA from 1 species
UACGGGGGGGGCAAGCGUUGUUCGGAAUUACUGGGCGUAAAGGGCGCGUAGGCGGUUUGCUAAGUUGAAUGUGAAAACUCUGGGCUUAACCCAGAGCCUGCAUUCAAUACUGGCAGGCUAGAGUUCUGGAGGGGAUAGCGGAAUUCCUGGUGUAGCGGUGAAAUGCGUAGAUAUCAGGAGGAACACUGGUGGCGAAGGCAGCCUUCUGGGCCAACACUGACGCUCAUGCACGAAAGCGUGGGGAGCAAACAGG